rnacentral:piRNA from 1 species
UCGGAGUCUAUUUCCCAUUAAUGUAAUGAA